rnacentral:tRNA from 1 species
GCGGAUGUAGCCAAGUGAUCAAGGCAG